UACGAAGGGGGCUAGCGUUGUUCGGAUUUACUGGGCGUAAAGCGCACGUAGGCGGAUUGUUAAGUCAGGGGUGAAAUCCUGGAGCUCAACUCCAGAACUGCCUUUGAUACUGGCAAUCUCGAGUCCGGAAGAGGUAAGUGGAACUCCUAGUGUAGAGGUGGAAUUCGUAGAUAUUAGGAAGAACACCAGUGGCGAAGGCGGCUUACUGGUCCGGAACCGACGCUGAGGUGCGAAAGCGUGGGGAGCAAACAGG
rnacentral:rRNA from 1 species